GAGUUUGAUCAUGGCUCAGGAUGAACGCUGGCGGCGUGCCUAACACAUGCAAGUCGAGCGCGGUUGUGCUUAGUAUUGAGUGUUUUAUUGAUAUAAAACAUUGAAUUCUAUGCACAACUGAGCGGCGGACGGGUGAGUAACGCGUGGGUAACCUGCCCUAUACACAUGGAUAACAUACUGAAAAGUUUACUAAUACAUGAUAAAAUAGUUUUUCGGCAUCGAAGAAUUAUCAAAGUGUUAGCGGUAUAGGAUGGACCCGCGUCUGAUUAGCUAGUUGGUGAGAUAACUGCCCACCAAGGCGACGAUCAGUAGCCGACCUGAGAGGGUGAUCGGCCACAUUGGAACUGAGACACGGUCCAAACUCCUACGGGAGGCAGCAGUGGGGAAUAUUGCACAAUGGGCGCAAGCCUGAUGCAGCAACGCCGCGUGAACGAUGAAGGUCUUCGGAUCGUAAAGUUCUGUUGCAGGGGAAGAUAAUGAC
rnacentral:rRNA from 1 species